UCCCUACGGGGCGCAGCAGUGGGGAAUAUUGCACAAUGGGGGGAACCCUGAUGCAGCGACGCCGCGUGGGUGAAGGAGUACUUCGGUACGUAAAGCCCUAUCAGCAGGAAAGAAAAUGACGGUACCUGACUAAGAAGCCCCGGCUAACUACGUGCCAGCAGCCGCGGUAAUACGUAGGGGGCAAGCGUUAUCCGGAUUUACUGGGUGUAAAGGGAGCGUAGACGGCGAUGCAAGCCAGAUGUGAAAGCCCGGGGCUCAACCCCGGGACUGCAUUUGGAACUGUGUGGCUGG
rnacentral:rRNA from 1 species